rnacentral:rRNA from 1 species
UGCUUAACACAUGCAAGUCGAACGGACUUAAGGGGCUUGCUUCUUAAGUUAGUGGCGCACGGGUGAGUAAUAUAUAGCUAACCUGCCCUUUAGUGGGGGACAACAGUUGGAAACGACUGCUAAUACCCUAUACUCCUUCUUACUAUAAGGUAAGUUGGGAAAGAUUUAUCGCUAAAGGAUGGGGCUUUAUUGUAUCAGCUAGUUGGUGGGGUAAUGGCCUACCAAGGCUAUGACGCAUACCUGGUCUGAGAGGAUGAUCAGGCACACUGGAACUGAGACACGGUCCAGACUCCUACGGGAGGCAGCAGUGGGGAAUAUUGCACAAUGGAGGAAACUCUGAUGCAGCAACGCCGCGUGGAGGAUGACGCAUUUCGGUGUGUAAACUCCUUUUAUAGGGGAAGAUAAUGACGGUACCCUAUGAAUAAGCACCGGCUAACUCCGUGCCAGCAGCCGCGGUAAUACGGAGGGUGCAAGCGUUACUCGGAAUCACUGGGCGUAAAGGAUGCGUAGGCUGGAAAUCAAGUCGAGAGUGAAAUCCAACGGCUCAACCGUUGAACUGCUCUCGAAACUGGUUACCUAGAAUAUGGGAGAGGUAGAUGGAAUUAGUGGUGUAGGGGUAAAAUCCGUAGAUAUCACUAGGAAUACCGAUUGCGAAGGCGAUCUACUGGAACAUUAUGACG